rnacentral:rRNA from 1 species
GAUGAACGCUGGCGGCGUGCCUAAUACAUGCAAGUCGAGCGAACAGACGAGGAGCUUGCUCCUCUGACGUUAGCGGCGGACGGGUGAGUAACACGUGGAUAACCUACCUAUAAGACUGGGAUAACUUCGGGAAACCGGAGCUAAUACCGGAUAAUAUAUUGAACCGCAUGGUUCAAUAGUGAAAGACGGUUUUGCUGUAACUUAUAGAUGGAUCCGCGCCACAUUAGCUUGUUGGUAAGGUAACGGCUUACCAAGGAAACGAUGCGUAGCCGACCUGAGGGGGGGAGGCCCCACUGGGAACGUGACACGGGCCCAAACCCCACGGGGGGGGGCGGAAGGGGAUAUUCGCCGAAGGGGGAAAGUCCGUGCGGGAAAAGCCGCGGGAGGGAAGAAGGUUUUCGGGUCGUGAAAAUCUGUUGUUAGAGGAGAAAAUAAGUGGGAAAGGAAAGAUCAUCAAGUUACGGUAACUAAACAGAAAGGCACGGCUAACUACGUG